GGCAGUAUGGCUGAUUUAAGCGGUAAUCUGUAAAAUUACCCAUAGGACUACAACCUUGCUGCCA
rnacentral:tRNA from 1 species